UCAUAUGCUUGUCUCAAAGAUUAAGCCAUGCAUGUGUAAGUACAAGCCGACUUAAGGCGAAACCGCGAAUGGCUCAUUAAAUCAGCUAUGAUCCAUUGGAUCUUUAAACCUACUUACUUGGAUAACUGUGGUAAUUCUAGAGCUAAUACAUGCAUCACGUCUCUGACCGCAAGGGAAGAGCGCUUUUAUUAGUUUGAAACCAGUCGGGCCUCGGUCCGUCAGCCAAAAUGUGGUGACUCUGAAUAACUUUUUGCUGAGCGCAAAGUCUAUGCACUUGGCGCUGAAUCCUUCAAGUAUCUGCCUUAUCAGCUGUCGAUUGUAGGUUACACGCCUACAAUGGCUAUAACGGGUAACGGGGAAUCAGGGUUCGAUUCCGGAGAGGGAGCCUGAGAAACGGCUACCACAUCCAAGGAAGGCAGCAGGCACGCAAAUUACCCACUCCUGGCAUGGGGAGGUAGUGACGAAAAAUAACGAUGCGAGACUCAUCCGAGGCCUCGCAAUCGGAAUGAGUACACUUUAAAUCCUUUAACGAGGAUCCAUUGGAGGGCAAGUCUGGUG
rnacentral:rRNA from 1 species